GGGUGGCAUCUCAGCCUGUGAACCAAUUCUGUAUUCCAAGGGGAGCAGGUUAUACUCCUGGGUCAUUCUUAGCCCCCAGGGAGAUUUUUGAUUUUUGUCUUGGUGAAGAAGAACGGUUGGAGUUUUGAUUAAAGAACAUAAUUGUGGAAUGGUGGCUUUGAAGAGACUGCGGGACAUUCGUGUCUAGAGGAUCUGAGCAUUUCCAAAAGCUGCCUGGUGAAGUGCCGUUCCCUGCACCUGGGAGGAGAUUGGUUGACGGACGCGGUGGCAAGUCACAUUCCAGAGAACUGGGAAAUUGGCAGAAGUAGGGAGUGAGUUGAGUUCACAAGGUUGACAACCUGUUAGUUAGCGUCAGGAUGAUAACAGGAUUUGGUGGGAGCCUGACUUGGGCUCCAGUCCUGCCCCUGUCCCGUUCUUUGGUUCUGAGCACUUCUCAUGUCCAAGCACUGGAUCCUGUCAAUAAAGGGACAGACCCGCUUGCACGUUGUGAAGACUCAAAUAGAUGAGGUCCUUCGGGUGCAUCGGCAGGAUUGAGCAGAGGUAUCAGCAGCACUAUGGGGGAUUGUGACCCUAUGUCCUCUGUGGGUGCUGGGUUACUGUUCCCAACAAAUAGGAAGCCAUGUCUUGAGUUCACUAAAAUAAUUACUGGAUUAGAAAAUGUUAGUUCCCCUUGCUUUGCAUCGCCUCUUCUUACCUGCAAUUUCAGCAGCUGUCUAAGUCCCUGUCUGGUGAGGGCUCGCUUCCUGGUGACAGAUGGCCAUGCUGUGUCUCCACACAGUGGAGGGGCUCAGGGAGCUCUCCAUGGUCCCUCCUGUAAAAACUCCACUCACCAAACAUGUCACAUCCUCAUUCUAUCUUGGGGGCUAGGAUGGUAAUAUGAAUUUGGGGGUGUAUAAACAUUCAUCCCAUUACAGUUGCCAAUAAGGCUAAUAAAUCUAUUUUUAGGGUCCCUGA